rnacentral:rRNA from 1 species
UUUUCCACAAUGGACGAAAGUCUGAUGGAGCAACGCCGCGUGAACGAUGAAGGUCUUCGGAUUGUAAAGUUCUGUUGUCAGGGACGAACACGUACCGUUCGAACAGGGCGGUACCUUGACGGUACCUGACGAGAAAGCCACGGCUAACUACGUGCCAGCAGCCGCGGUAAUACGUAGGUGGCAAGCGUUGUCCGGAUUUAUUGGGCGUAAAGCGCGCGCAGGCGGCUAUGUAAGUCUGGUGUUAAAGCCCGGGGCUCAACCCCGGUUCGCAUCGGAAACUGUGUAGCUUGAGUGCAGAAGAGGAAAGCGGUAUUCCACGUGUAGCGGUGAAAUGCGUAGAGAUGUGGAGGAACACCAGUGGCGAAGGCGGCUU